rnacentral:tRNA from 1 species
GCGUUGGUGGAGUAGUGGUUACACGCUCACCUCGCGUGUUUGAUGUCCUGGGUUCGAAUCCCGGCCAGCCCG